GUCAACAUAGCAAUAUGUGGCAUACGGCUCAGUAACACGUAGUCAACAUGCCCAGGGGACGUAGAUAACCUCGGGAAACUGAGGAUAAACCGCGAUAAGUCACUACUUCUGGAAUGGGUAAUGACUCAAAUCUAUAUGGCCCCUGGAUUGGACUGCGGCCGAUCAGGCUGUUGGUGAGGUAAUGGCCCACCAAACCUGUAACCGGUACGGGCUCUGAGAGGAGGAGCCCGGAGAUGGGCACUGAGACAAGGGCCCAGGCCCUAUGGGGCGCAGCAGGCGCGAAACCUCUGCAAUAGGCGAAAGCUUGACAGGGUUACUCUGAGUGAUUUCCGUUAAGGAAAUCUUUUGGCACCUCUAAAAAUGGUGCAGAAUAAGGGGUGGGCAAGUCUGGUGUCAGCCGCCGCGGUAAUACCAGCACCCCGAGUGGUCGGGACGUUUAUUGGGCCUAAAGCAUCCGUAGCCGGUUCUACAAGUCUUCCGUUAAAUCCACCUGCUUAACAGAUGGGCUGCGGAAGAUACUAUAGAGCUAGGAGGCGGGAGAGGCAAGCGGUACUCGAUGGGUAGGGGUAAAAUCCGUUGAUCCAUUGAAGACCACCAGUGGCGAAGGCGGCUUGCCAGAACGCGCUCGACGGUGAGGGAUGAAAGCUGGGGGAGCAAACCGGAUUAGAUACCCGGGUAGUCCCAGCUGUAAACGAUGCAGACUCGGUGAUGAGUUGGCUUCUUGCCAACUCAGUGCCGCAGGGAAGCCGUUAAGUUUGCCGCCUGGGGAGUACGGUCGCAAGACUGAAACUUAAAGGAAUUGGCGGGGGAGCACCACAAGGGGUGAAGCCUGCGGUUCAAUUGGAG
rnacentral:rRNA from 1 species